AAGCCUACAUCACUACUGACAUUGGUUCACCAUGGACAAUCUACAUCAUUGCGACGGGUACCGUGCACACCCGACGUCUACGACAGCAGUAUAUUUCCUGCACUGAAUUAUGGCUUCAAUGGAAGAAAGCUAAUCGUUGCAACACUUUCAGUGUCGUCAUUUAUCUACUCAAAAACUGUCAACAAUGCUACAGACUAUUCAGGCUUCUGCAUUGAUUUGUUGAAGGCUCUGGCCAGAUAUCUGAACUUCACGUACGAGAUUGUAGAACCGACAUAUGGAACAUGGGGCGUACUUGUUAAUGGAUCUUGGAACGGAC